rnacentral:rRNA from 1 species
AACAAACGCUGGCGGCGUGCCUAAUACAUGCAAGUCGAACGGGGUAGCAAUACCUAGUGGCGCACGGGUGAGUAACGCGUGGAUAAUCUGCCUUAGAGUGGGGGAUAACUAGUCGAAAGAUUAGCUAAUAUCGCAUAAGACCACAAGAGCUGCGGCUCAAGGGGUCAAAGGUUUUUCGCUCUAAGAUGAGUCCGCAUAAGAUUAGCUAGUUGGUGAGGUAAUGGCUCACCAAGGCGACGAUCUUUAACUGGUCUGAGAGGAUGAUCAGUCACACUGGAACUGAGACACGGUCCAGACUCCUACGGGAGGCAGCAGUAGGGAAUAUUGCACAAUGGAGGAAACUCUGAUGCAGCGACGCCGCGUGAGUGAUGAAGGCCUUCGGGUCGUAAAGCUCUGUCGCAGGGGAAUAACACAAUGAAUGUACCCUGUAAGAAAGGAUCGGCUAACUUCGUGCCAGCAGCCGCGGUAAAAC